AGCAAGGUCAGCUAAAAAAGCUAUCGGGCCCAUACCCGAAAAUGAYGGUUCAACUCCCUCCCUCGCUA
rnacentral:tRNA from 1 species